rnacentral:tRNA from 2 species
GUCCAUGUACCUCAGUAGGAUAGAGGGUUCGCCUCCUAAGCGAAACGCCGCAGGUUCGAUUCCUGUCAUGGACGCCA